rnacentral:tRNA from 1 species
UCCCCGGUAGCUCAGCGGUAGAGCGGUCGGCUGUUAACCGAUUGGUCGUAGGUUCAAAUCCUAUCCGGGGAG